rnacentral:RNase_P_RNA from 1 species
CGACCGGGCCACGCAGCCGCGGGCACAGGGGGAAACCCCGUGCAUGAGGAAAGUCCGGGCUCCACAGGGUAAGGAUAACGGGUAACGCCCGCCGAGGGUAACCUUAGGACAAGUGCAACAGAGAUAUACCGCCUGCGUUCGCAGGUAAGGGUGGAAAGGCGAGGUAAGAGCUCACCCACCGUCCGGAGACGGAACGGUGCUGUAAACUCUAUCCGGAGCAACGCCGUGGAGGGACAUACAGGCUGACCCGGCCGUCCCGAGGAGGCGGCUUGAGCGCAGCGGCAACACUGCGCCUAGAUAGAUGGCUGCAAAAGACAGAACCCGGCUUACAGACCCGAUCGCACC